rnacentral:antisense_RNA from 1 species
GAAUUAAACAUGAAUGAGCAUAAUGCACCAGUAAAGACUGGUUUGAUGAUUUUGAAUGUGAAGAUUCUAAUAUGCUCAUUAAUUGAUCUUCUAUGCAGCAUCCUCCAUAUGUUAUAUCCCCCAAAAUUACUACACUCGUUCGGGCAAAGUGUUGUAAAAUAAGAGAAAUAGAUUGAGAAAAAACUAACAACCCUUCCGGCAUUUGUAAAUACACGGUAAAGUUUUCACGCUCA